rnacentral:misc_RNA from 1 species
AAAGUCGUAACAAGGUUUCCGUAGGUGAACCUGCGGAAGGAUCAUUAACAAAUCUGUGGGUUCCAGUCUGUAUGUAUGUAUGGACUGUGGGCCCAUUUUUGCGCGUGUUUUGUGUGACUGGUUACUAUAGUGAAUUUGGGAUAAGGAAGGAGACAACUUUUAACAAUGGAUCUCUUGGCUCUU